GUUUUCCUGUGGCUCAGUCAGUACAGCUUUGCGCCAGCAACACAAAGGUCAUGGGUUCACGACCCAGGGAAAGCA